CUCUUUUAGUUUAUGAAAAAAUAUUAGUUUGAAGAGCUGAAGAUGGGUUGUUCUAGGGAGU
rnacentral:tRNA from 1 species